UACGAAGGGGGCUAGCGUUGCUCGGAAUCACUGGGCAUAAAGCGCACGUAGGCGGCUUUCUAAGUCAGGGGUGAAAUCCUGGAGCUCAACUCCAGAACUGCCUUUGAUACUGGAGAGCUUGAGUCCGGAAGAGGUGAGUGGAACUCCGAGUGUAGAGGUGAAAUUCGUAGAUAUUCGGAAGAACACCAGUGGCGAAGGCGGCUCACUGGUCCGGUACUGACGCUGAGGUGCGAAAGCGUGGGGAGCAAACAGG
rnacentral:rRNA from 1 species